rnacentral:rRNA from 1 species
UACAGAGGUCUCAAGCGUUGUUCGGAUUCAUUGGGCGUAAAGGGCGCGUAGGCGGCGGGGUAAGUCGGGUGUGAAAUCUCAGGGCUCAACCCUGAAACUGCACUCGAUACUGCUCUGCUUGAGGACUGGAGAGGAGACUGGAAUUCACGGUGUAGCAGUGAAAUGCGUAGAGAUCGUGAGGAAGACCAGUGGCGAAGGCGGGUCUCUGGACAGUUCCUGACGCUGAGGCGCGAAGGCCAGGGGAGCAAACAGG